rnacentral:rRNA from 1 species
AUUGAACGCUGGCGGCAGGCCUAACACAUGCAAGUCGAACGGCAGCGGGGGGUAGCUUGCUACCCCGCCGGCGAGUGGCGGACGGGUGAGUAAUGCCUGGGGAGCUGCCCAAUCGAGGGGGAUACCAGUUGGAAACGACUGCUAAUACCGCAUACGCCCUGAGGGGGAAAGGUGGGGAUCUUCGGACCUACCGCGAUUGGAUGCACCCAGGUGGGAUUAGCUAGUUGGUGAGGUAACGGCUCACCAAGGCGACGAUCUCUAGCUGGUCUGAGAGGAUGACCAGCCACACUGGAACUGAGACACGGUCCCGACUCCUACGGGGGGCAGCAGUGGGGAAUAUUGCACAAGGGGGGAAACCCUGAUGCAGCCAUGCCGCGUGUGUGAAGAAGGCCUUAGGGUUGUAAAGCACUUUCAGUGGGGAGGAAAGGGUGGAAGCUAAUACCUUUCAUCUGUGACGUUACCCACAGAAGAAGCACCGGCUAACUCCGUGCCAGCCGCCGCCGUAA